GAGGGUAGAGCUCAGUGGUAGAGUGUGUGUUUAGCAUGCAUGAGGUCCUGGGUUCAACCCCCAAUACUUCCA
rnacentral:tRNA from 1 species